CGAUCAUUACUUUAUACUACUUCACCAGCUGCACUACAUCGUACUCACAACAAUGGUGUAUACAUAUACGGCUCUUGUUAGUAAAUAAAAAGGUGAACUUGAGGAGACAAAAAUAGUAAUGAUGCACACAUAUACAAGUUCUCUUUUAUUUCUGAAAUGGGGAAAGUUUAAGUGCAUCUGCUCAUGAAUUACCCACUAUUUUUAGAAGUCAUUAUUUGAGAAGAAACCUUUGACUAAGAAUAAUUAGAGGCCAAUUUUGCACUAUAUUGUUUGCUUCCUUAGUAACUUGUCUAUUGUUUUUAUUUUACUUUCAGGAUAUGAGUGCAGCGUCGCAGGGGGAUCACGAGGAGCUAGCGAAGAUAAUCACAAAGGCCUUUUCUGUUUAAUUGGCUGAGAACUGCCUAAGAAUUUGCUGCUUGAUUCUUGACAGAAAAGUCUUAUGCUACAUGCUACACACUUGAUUCUCUGCUUGAACUAGGCUGAGUAGUUACAUGUACAUGCUACACACUCUAAUUUAGAUAAUCGGUUAGACCUCACCUCAUGUAACUUAAAAGGCUUGUUCUUGCAGAUGCUAAGUAAAAAAGAUGAUGCACUACUAAGCUUUUGUUCAAACAAGGUUAUGCUUCAUGUGUUCCGUCAUUCAUUUGACACAAUUAAUGCCAACUCGCUAGAAAUUGAAAUGUUGUUUCAA